UACAGAUAAAAAGAGACCGAAUACGAUUCCUGUAUUCGGUCCAGGGAAAUGGCUCUUGGGAGAGAGCCGUGCGCUAAAAGUUGGCAUUAAUGCAGGCUAAGUCGCCUUGCCUUUUAAGAAUAGAUGACGACGCCAGGUUUUCCAGUCUGCGGCUUGCACGGCUGGAAAAAAACGGCGCUGAUCACUGGCUGAAAUGUAAAAACCGCAAGACGCUUUACAAA
rnacentral:sRNA from 1 species